GAAAUGCGAUAACUAAUGUGAAUUGCAGAAUUCCGUGAAUCAUCGAGUCUUUGAACGCACAUUGCGCCCCCUGGCAUUCCGGGGGGCAUGCCUGUCCGAGCGUCAUUACAACCCUCAAGCCCGGCUUGUGUUAUGGGCGUGUCCCCGCCGGCGUCUAACCGCGCCCGGGGACUCUCCCGAAAUCGAGUGGGGACGUCGCGAUACCGAAGCCUCAGCGAAUGGGAAUACACCAGAGCUGUGCGGCCCGGCCGGCGUCCGCGUCAGUCAGUCCUGCCUAGCGGCGGAUUGUCUUUUUUUAUCGGUUGACCUCGGAUCAGGUAGGGAUACCCGCUGAACUUAA
rnacentral:misc_RNA from 1 species